rnacentral:rRNA from 1 species
CCUACGGGAGGCAGCAGUGAGGAAUAUUGGUCAAUGGACGAGAGUCUGAACCAGCCAAGUCGCGUGAAGGAAGACGGCCCUACGGGUUGUAAACUUCUUUUGUAAGGGAAUAAAUAGUCUUACGCGCUAAGACGUUGCAGGUACCUUACGAAUAAGGAUCGGCUAACUCCGUGCCAGCAGCCGCGGUAAUACGGAGGAUCCGAGCGUUAUCCGGAUUUAUUGGGUUUAAAGGGUGCGCAGGCGGCAUGUUAAGUCGGCGGUGAAAUUUUGCAGCUCAACUGUAAAAGAGCCUUCGAAACUGGCAAGCUUGAGUGUGGAUGAAGUAGGCGGAAUUUGUGGUGUAGCGGUGAAAUGCAUAGAUAUCACAAAGAACACCGAUUGCGCAGGCAGCUUACUAAACCAUAACUGACGCUCAUGCACGAAGGCGUGGGGAUCAAACAGGAUUAGAUACCCUGGUAGUCCACGCAGUAAACGAUGAUUACUGGCUGUUUGCGAUACAAUGUAAGCGGCUGAGCGAAAGCGUUAAGUAAUCCACCUGGGGAGUACGUUCGCAAGAAUGAAACUCAAAUGAAUUGACGG